rnacentral:rRNA from 1 species
UUUGGGGGGCGUGCCUAUACAUGCAGUCGAGCGAACAGAUAAGGAGCUUGCUCCUUUGACGUUAGCGGCGGACGGGUGAGUAACACGUGGGUAACCUACCUAUAAGACUGGGAUAACUUCGGGAAACCGGAGCUAAUACCGGAUAACAUUUGGAACCGCAUGGUUCUAAAGUGAAAGAUGGUUUUGCUAUCACUUAUAGAUGGACCCGCGCCGUAUUAGCUAGUUGGUAAGGUAACGGCUUACCAAGGCGACGAUACGUAGCCGACCUGAGAGGGUGAUCGGCCACACUGGAACUGAGACACGGUCCAGACUCCUACGGGAGGCAGCAGUAGGGAAUCUUCCGCAAUGGGCGAAAGCCUGACGGAGCAACGCCGCGUGAGUGAUGAAGGGUUUCGGCUCGUAAAACUCUGUUAUUAGGGAAGAACAAACGUGUAAGUAACUGUGCACGUCUUGACGGUACCUAAUCAGAAAGCCACGGCUAACUACGUGCCAGCAGCCGCGGUAAUACGUAGGUGGCAAGCGUUAUCCGGAAUUAUUGGGCGUAAAGCGCGCGUAGGCGGUUUCUUAAGUCUGAUGUGAAAGCCCACGGCUCAACCGUGGAGGGUCAUUGGAAACUGGGAAACUUGAGUGCAGAAGAGGAAAGUGGAAUUCCAUGUGUAGCGGUGAAAUGCGCAGAGAUAUGGAGGAACACCAGUGGCGAAGGCGACUUUCUGGUCUGUAACUGACGCUGAUGUGCGAAAGCGUGGGGAUCAAACAGGAUUAGAUACCCUGGUAGUCCACGCCGUAAACGAUGAGUGCUAAGUGUUAGGGGGUUUCCGCCCCUUAGUGCUGCAGCUAACGCAUUAAGCACUCCGCCUGGGGAGUACGACCGCAAGGUUGAAACUCAAAGGAAUUGACGGGGACCCGCACAAGCGGUGGAGCAUGUGGUUUAAUUCGAAGCAACGCGAAGAACCUUACCAAAUCUUGACAUCCUUUGAAAACUCUAGAGAUAGAGCCUUCCCCUUCGGGGGACAAAGUGACAGGUGGUGCAUGGUUGUCGUCAGCUCGUGUCGUGAGAUGUUGGGUUAAGUCCCGCAACGAGCGCAACCCUUAAGCUUAGUUGCCAUCAUUAAGUUGGGCACUCUAGGUUGACUGCCGGUGACAAACCGGAGGAAGGUGGGGAUGACGUCAAAUCAUCAUGCCCCUUAUGAUUUGGGCUACACACGUGCUACAAUGGACAAUACAAAGGGCAGCUAAACCGCGAGGUCAUGCAAAUCCCAUAAAGUUGUUCUCAGUUCGGAUUGUAGUCUGCAACUCGACUACAUGAAGCUGGAAUCGCUAGUAAUCGUAGAUCAGCAUGCUACGGUGAAUACGUUCCCGGGUCUUGUACACACCGCCCGUCACACCACGAGAGUUUGUAACACCCGAAGCCGGUGGAGUAACCAUUUAUGGAGCUAGCCGUCGAAAGGUGACCCGGCAUU